CCCGUCUCAGGGUUGCACCUGGAGAGUUUCCAGUACUCUACCAGUCUCAACUUUGGAAGGGAAAGUCAAGCAGAGGCAUACACAUUCCAUUCCUAGCUUGGGCGGUGUCUAGCGAGUGAAAGGCAAUCUGCUACAAGU
rnacentral:snoRNA from 1 species